rnacentral:rRNA from 1 species
GCUGGCGGCGUGCCUAAUACAUGCAAGUUCGAACGCACAGCGAAAGGUGCUUGCACCUUUCAAGAUGAGUGGCGAACGGGUGAGUAACACGUGGACAACCUGCCUCAAGGCUGGGGAUAACAUUUGGAAACAGAUGCUAAUACCGAAUAAAACUUAGUGUCGCAUGACAUAAAGUUAAAAGGCGCUUCGGCGUCACCUAGAGAUGGAUCCGCGGUGCAUUAGUUAGUUGGUGGGGUAAAGGCCUACCAAGACAAUGAUGCAUAGCCGAGUUGAGAGACUGAUCGGCCACAUUGGGACUGAGACACGGCCCAAACUCCUACGGGAGGCUGCAGUAGGGAAUCUUCCACAAUGGGCGAAAGCCUGAUGGAGCAACGCCGCGUGUGUGAUGAAGGCUUUCGGGUCGUAAAGCACUGUUGUAUGGGAAGAACAGCUAGAAUAGGAAAUGAUUUUAGUUUGACGGUACCAUACCAGAAAGGGACGGCUAAAUACGUGCCAGCAGCCGCGGUAAUACGUAUGUCCCGAGCGUUAUCCGGAUUUAUUGGGCGUAAAGCGAGCGCAGACGGUUUAUUAAGUCUGAUGUGAAAGCCCGGAGCUCAACUCCGGAAUGGCAUUGGAAACUGGUUAACUUGAGUGCAGUAGAGGUAAGUGGAACUCCAUGUGUAGCGGUGGAAUGCGUAGAUAUAUGGAAGAACACCAGUGGCGAAGGCGGCUUACUGGACUGCAACUGACGUUGAGGCUCGAAAGUGUGGGUAGCAAACAGUUU